rnacentral:tRNA from 1 species
GCCUGCGUGGCUGAGUGGUUGAGCGUCUGCCUUUGGCGCAGGUGGUGAUCCUGGGGUCUUGGGAUGGAGUCCCGCUGCAGGCU